UACGUAGGGUGCGAGCGUUGUCCGGAAUUACUGGGCGUAAAGAGCUCGUAGGUGGUUUGUCGCGUUGUUCGUGAAAACUCACAGCUCAACUGUGGGCGUGCGGGCGAUACGGGCAGACUGGAGUACUGCAGGGGAGACUGGAAUUCCUGGUGUAGCGGUGGAAUGCGCAGAUAUCAGGAGGAACACCGGUGGCGAAGGCGGCGAUCUGGGUAGAUACUGACGCUGGAGGUGCGAAAGCGUGGGGAGCAAACAGG
rnacentral:rRNA from 1 species